ACACGCGCAGAAUGCAAGGAAUUAGUUCAGUUGCGACUGUGGUAUACAAGAUAACAAGGUAACGAGUUAUUCUGCUAAUCAUUACACCGACCUAUUUUCGUGUAGAGACACAUAAACGUGUUACAUGAUAGCUCAAGCGUUUUGUUCUAUUAAUACGAUUUACCAUUCAACGUUUACCAUUUACGAUUAACUCGUUAAAAUGGAGUUAUCAAUUUAUUUAAUGAAUUUAAUUGAUAAUUAUUCAUCGCGAAACUGAGAAAAAGUAUUGGUAUUAUCACGAUAUUCUAUUAUACGUGUACGAGUUCACUUUCACAGUUCAAUUAAUGGAGAGAAGAUAUGGAGGAGAAAAUGGUGGAAAUUUGGGAACCACUGGGCCGCUAUUGCCGUUUCGAGCGAGAUGAAAGACGAGCGAGAAGCUCCCUCCGAACAAUAUGCCAGAUCGAAAUGGAAAGUUGCGCGAGAUUUCUGCCGUUACAAUUGAAAGUGGCCAUUUACCGCUUACGGGCCGACUUUCAAUGUAAUCUCGCCGGUGCAGCAGAAGACGCGUUCGCGAAAGUCGAGCGACGUUUACGUCGGAUUGCUACUCGUGUUUACGUGGUUGCAGCCACGAAACGGGUCACUUGUAACUGCGGCUGUGCCGCGUUAAAAGUAGAAACCGUGGGGCAAGCCUCUCCACGGAGAACGAAUUCCACGACAUUUCCACGAGUCGAAACGAGAUAGCAGUUUGAAAGAAGAAAGAGGGGAAUAUGAGGAAAGAGAAGGAUAAUUUAGAGGAUUGGAGGAUGGUUGGAGCGAUCGAGCGAAAGGCAUUAAAUGGCGGAAAAGGAUAAUGACGAAAGAGGAUCGGUGUCUAUCGCGGUUGGCUAUCUUCGCACGGUACAAAACAUUUUUAGAAUGCGGAACAGGGAAACCAGGUGGCCAAGGUCAAAACGAGAAGAGGAGAAGAGAGGAGUUGGAACGCAGGCACGGCCGAUACCUUUUGGAGAACGAUCAAGAAACAUCCCCGACCGCAUCGAACGCUGGGACUGACUUUUAUUAUGUUCGCUAUGUCGCGGCCUCGCCUUAAUCCCCACCACUCGCCCGCUCUUCCGGGGUCCGGGUGACCCCGCUCGCAAAGCGGACUUACGCUCCCACUCUCUCUCACCACGGUCCCCCCGAUCGGAUCGUGCUCGCCUUCUUUUUUUAAUUCGCCCUUUGUCUUCCCCGUUUUUCUUUCGCUUCUACUUUUUUUCCUCAAAAACUCGUACGACGGUUUACGUUUGCUUUGAAACUAGAGAAAAGAAAAAAAAGAAAGAAAGAAAGAGAGAAGAUACAGAAAUAAAAGAAUAGGAAAGGAACCGUUGUUUAACGUUGAUCCUGCGUCCCGCAGUGUUUCUCAACCUUUUUGCAACACGAUUCAACGUGUUUAUAAUGGUCGGUUAGGAUUAUUCAAUUUUUCGGAUAUCUUUAGGUCUUUCUUUCAAGACGGUCGACCGUGUUGGCUGUACGUUGUUUCGUGACUCAAUAACUGAUGAUAUCGUUAUAUUUUUAAACAAAUAUAAGUCUGCACGCUGCUUAUAUAA